UACAGAGGUCUCGAGCGUUAGGCGGAAUCACUGGGCUUAAAGCGUGUGUAGGCGGACUGGUAAGUACCUUGUGAAAUCCCACGGCUCAACCGUGGAACUGCUGGGUAUACUGCUUGUCUUGUGCAACCUAGGGGCGAGCGGAACAGAUGGUGGAGCGGUGAAAUGCGUAGAUAUCAUCUGGAACGCCAAUGGUGAAAACAGCUCGCUGGGGGUUUGCAGACGCUGAGACACGAAAACCAGGGGAGCGAACGGG
rnacentral:rRNA from 1 species